AAGUUACCGCCCCUGCCGCGGUUCGGCGGUGGCAUCCGGCCUCGCACUUCCGGUGGGAAGAUUCCGGCCGGGAGCUCACCAGGCGGAGCAGACCUCGGGACCUGUGAGCGUUGCAUCCAGUUAACCAUGGGAAGGGUUAGCACCAGCCACCAGCCCCUUAGGUGAGGACUCUGCCUGGGGCUCCGCUGAUGGUUCCAAAUCAUGGAGCUGCAGAGAGCUCCUCCAGCCAGGAGACGUUCUUGGUGAAAGCUGUGGUCCAGCUCCACCGGCUCUUCCUGCACAUUGUCUUCAAGAGGGGUGCCUGCCCCCGCUGACUCAGGAGCUCGGGUGCUGCAGCCGCCACGAAUGGGGAGGUGGGCCCUCGAUGUGGCCUUUGUGUGGAAGGCGGUAUUGACCCUGGGGCUGGUGCUUCUCUACUACUGCUUCUCCAUCGGCAUCACCUUCUACAACAAAUGGCUGACAAAGAGCUUCCAUUUCCCCCUCUUCAUGACGAUGCUGCACCUGGCCGUGAUCUUCCUCUUUUCCGCCCUGUCCAGGGCGCUGGUUCAGUGCUCCAGCCACAGGGCCCGUGUGGUGCUGAGCUGGGCUGACUACCUCAGAAGAGUGGCUCCCACAGCCCUGGCCACGGCGCUUGACGUGGGCUUGUCCAACUGGAGCUUCCUCUAUGUCACCGUCUCUCUGUACACAAUGACCAAAUCCUCAGCUGUCCUCUUCAUCUUGAUCUUCUCUCUGAUCUUCAAGCUGGAGGAGCUGACCCCCAAGUUAGCUGCCACUGCUCCCCAUCCUCCCAGCGCGCGGCACUGGUCCUGGUGGUCCUCCUCAUCGCCGGGGGUCUCUUCAUGUUCACCUACAAGUCCACACAGUUCAACGUGGAGGGCUUUGCCUUGGUGCUGGGGGCCUCAUUCAUCGGUGGCAUUCGCUGGACCCUCACCCAGAUGCUCCUGCAGAAGGCGGAACUUGGCCUCCAGAAUCCCAUCGACACCAUGUUCCACCUGCAGCCACUCAUGUUCCUGGGGCUCUUCCCUCUCUUUGCUGUAUUUGAAGGUCUCCAUUUGUCCACAUCUGAGAAAAUCUUCCGUUUCCAGGACACAGGGCUGCUCCUGCGGGUACUUGGGAGCCUCUUCCUUGGCGGGAUUCUCGCCUUUGGUUUGGGCUUCUCUGAGUUCCUCCUGGUCUCCAGAACCUCCAGCCUCACUCUCUCCAUUGCUGGCAUUUUUAAGGAAGUCUGCACUUUGCUGUUGGCAGCUCAUCUGCUGGGCGAUCAGAUCAGCCUCCUGAACUGGCUGGGCUUUGUCCUCUGCCUCUCGGGAAUAUCCCUCCAUGUUGCCCUCAAAGCCUUGCAUUCCAGAGGUGAUGGUGGCCCCAAGGCCUUGAAGGGGCUGGGCUCCAGCCCCGACCUGGAGCUGCUGCUCCGGAGCAGCCAGCGGGAGGAAGGUGACAAUGAGGAGGAGGAGUACUUUGUGGCCCAGGGGCAGCAGUGACCGGCCAGGGCAAAUGGCUUAGAAGCAGGCCGCUCUCCAGCCUGCUGCCAGCACUCCCUAUGUUCAAGCCCCCGGGGCUCUUCAUGGUAGCUGGGAGCUGUGGAUGAAAGUCAAAGGUGGUGGGGCCAAGCCAGGGACUCCUGACUCUUGUCCCUCCCUUCAGAGCUUGGUCACACAAGGGGCGAGCACCAGGCCAGCCUGGGACCUGGCCAGAGCUGGGCCCAAGCUGCGCUGGAGUUGGAGUCACUGCCGGAGAGGGGAGUGGGCUGGUUCUUCCCAACCACUUCCCAGGCUCUGAGAACCAAGACUCAUUUCCAAGGCACAGCAGCUUUCUAAGGGGACUGGGUUUGGACUGAGUUUUGGAUCUCGAGGGGCUGAAGCCUGAUCACCUGGGUAGCAUCUUUUUCUCAGAGAGCAGGUUUCUUUAUAGUUUAGAAAUAAAUGGUUCACGGUCCACUGGCCACCUCGUGUUGCUGGAGACGGGGCAGGGAGGGGACAGUGUGGGCCUGGCCUCUCCUUUCCCUGCCUGGGGCCUUCUUCAAAUGACGGGUCUUAAGCCAGGCCUCCUUCGUUUCUUGCUUAUAUUGGAACACCAGUGCCCUCAGCAUGGGGCCCCACUGCACCUGCUGGCAAGAAAUAAAUGAAUAUUUACUGAGCACUGCAUUCUGGAGACUUUACAUGUUUUCACAGCCUAGUGUGAAUCCUGGCUGCUACUAGCUGUGUGACCCUAAGCAAAUGGCCUAACCUGUCUGUGCCGUAGUUUUUUAAUCUGUGAAGUGGGGAUAAUAUCUAUCUCAGAGUCCUUUUGAAGAUUGAGUCAUUAUUAGUCACAGAUUAAAUGCUAUAUAAGCAUUUCUUUUAAUCCUUUUAACAACUAAGAGACUAAAGCCUGGAAAAGAUAAAGAGCUGCCUAAGUGGCUGGGCUGGGAUUCACAUCCAGGUCUGUGUACCGCUGCGUGCAUGUGCAGCACGUGACAUCCACACUGCCUCCUGGAAGGGUUUAUGGACCCCGGGGCCUGGGCUUUCCACUCCUCCUUGGCCAAGUCCCACCUCUUGUCUAGACUACAGGCCUCUCAGAUGAGGAAGGGAGAGGGCAAGACCCCGACUGUGAUGUGCUGUGGACUGAGUCUGCUGUAAGCUGGUUCCUGGGCCUUGGGAGACCCCACCAGCCAUUGGAGACAGCUUUCCAGGCGAAGUGCUCCUAGGCACUCACAGCAGGUGGCGCCAUUGCACCACACUGGCUCCCAGAGCCCAGCCGCCCUGCCACGCUGCUCUCCAGACACAGGCAGAAAAGGGGUGCUUGGAAGAGGACAGUGGGUGUCCAUGGGUGGGGACAAGGAUGAGACUUGUUCUAAAAUUGUUUCCACAGGUUGGAGUCACUAAAGCUCACUCUAAGCGCAGGAGAACUUUAAUACUUUAAAAAUGGGUCUGCAAACUUCCUGUAAAGGGCCAGUUGGUAUUUGGGGUUUGGGGAGCAUAGCAUAUGGCAUCUGUUGGAGCUGCUCUGCUAUUGUAGCACAAAAGCAGCCAUAGAUGACACAGACCCAGGGUGUGGCUGUCCCAAUGAAACCUCAUUUACAAAAGUAGGAUCCAGCUUGCUGGCUGAAGUUUGCCAGCCGGAGAACCCUCAAGAAGUCUCUAGUCCAACUUCCACUUCUGCAGCAGGAGGCUAAAGCCAGGAGGGGGCGGUGACUAGCCCGAGGCCCUCAGAGCUUCCAUGCUCAGGAGGAGUCAGACUAAAAUCUGCCUCUAAUUCAGAUUCCCAGCACAGACUCAGCAGGUGGAGGUGGAGCACCAAGGGCGCUCGGAAGCGGCCCGUUAUCUGGCUUCUGCACCUCUGCCCCCCUUGGAUUCCACAAGCUCAGAAGCCAAGAUUAAAGGAGGCUCGUGCUCCAGCUGGAUGACGUGGGGAGAGCCAGCCAAGGAGGGGGGCCAGGGCCUCCUCCGUCUGAGAGGCUGCUUGGGAUGCAGGCCGCUUGGGCAGUGGGGGGAGCCUGCCAGAGCCCCGCUGGCUCAGGUGGAUAAGAGCUUCCUGUCUGCUCCCCCACUGCCCGCCUCCCAGCACAUGGAGAAAGCGCUGCUGUCUGGUGCAGUAAUUACAAGGUGCAGAGCUGGGGCCCUUACCUCGCACAUGUUGGGUUCAAUGACAGCCCUUCAUUUAGCAGCAAUUACCAGCCAAACCUAAAGGAGGGCUCCUUCUCCUCCCGCACCUGGCCCACCCAAUCACCUGGCCUCCCAGGCCAGACAGCGUCCACCUCGGUAUUGAGCCCUAGAACCACCCAUGCUGUCUGCAGUCAUUGCAUCUCAGGGCUGCAGCAUCACCAUGGCGACGUGGUGCUUGCACAGGUUGAGGGAAUCUGAGGAUGUGACUUGUCUCUCCAAGGCUGUGGUGUCUGUCCCCACACAGCCCCCCAGCUCCGAGGCUUCUGCAGAAGGGGGCGGAGAGAGGAGGGCUGACCUGCAGAUUCGAGUUUUAAGUGCUUACAAGCCCACCGCCUCUCCCAGGAGCCCACAGUGGAAGGAAGGUUAAUGCCCCCAAUAUGUGAGGACGUCCACAGUUGGUGCUGUGGUGGCGGUGAGAACAGGCUGCAGUUUGCCUGUGGGAGGGACCUGAGCCGUCAGGCAGGCCCGGUGUACCUUCAUCUUCACUCCAGUACCCUUUUCUGCCUUGAGGGCUCAAGGGAUUGUCUCCAUCUGUUUCUGCUCUAUCCUGCUGUGAAAAAACUGAAAAUCCCAGUGGCUUAAGAGUAGUUAAUAUGGCACCAAGAGAAUUCUCAUGGUACUUGCUGCAGCUUCCUGCAUCACACACUAGUGAUGGACUGAGGGUGGGGACUCCCAGGCCAUCCAUAUAGGUCGACAGCAUUCAGUGAGUGCUGGCCACAUGGCAGACACUGCUGGACUUGGGGACAGAGACAUUCGUUUUUGGAGUCAGCCUUCCUUCCAGCCCAGGGAAGUGAUGAGGCAGUGGGCUGGGGAAUGGGGAAGAAAGAACAGAACAGACUGUUCACUGGGCACCAUCUAGGCCUUUGCCAUAGGUUAUUUAAUCUGUAACAGCCCGGUGCAGUAAGGACUGAUUGUAUUUCUAUCCUAGCUGUGGCAACUAAGCUCCAAGUGGGUAAGCAUAACAAUGGCUAAAGAUACAGCCUCCUGAUGCCAUAGACUGAGAGACAUGUCUCUCUCUGCUGUGAUUAGCUGUGUGCUUUUCGACACGUCGCUGAUCUUCUCUGAGCCUGUUUCCUUGUCUCUACAGAAAGAAUAAUAAUAAUAAUAUAUAUCUGAAGGAAGCUACUGUGAAGGUGAAAUAAAAUAAUGUAGGUAAAGCACACAGUGCUGCGCUCAUAGUCAUCACCACUCAGGAAAUGGAGCGGGAAGAAUGUCACAUAACUCGCCCAGAUGAGAGGAUGAGCCAGUGUUGGUGCUCUGGCCUUCUGAGGUCCCUCCCCAUCUCUGCUGAAUGUCUGGUACUGAGCAUGCACUUAACAGAUGCUUUUUUUUUUUUUUUUUUUUUUGAGAUGGAAUUUUGCUCUUAUUGCCCAGGCUGGAGUCCAAUGGCGCCAUCUUGGCUCGCUGCAACCUCCGCCUCCCGGGUUCAAGCGAUUCUCCUGCCUCAGCUUCCCAAGUAGCUGGUAUUACAGGCACCCACCACAAUGCCUGGCUAAUUUUUUGUAUUUUUAGUACAGGGAGCUCUAAAGCUGAGAUGCCUGUCAGAGUUGUCCCAAGUUGGGGUGAGAGGUUCAUGGCUUUACACCACAGCAUUUUUUGUAUUUCUAGUAUUUUGUAUUUUCGUAUUUUAGUACAUGUUGGCCAGGCUGGUCUUGAACUCCUGACCUCAGGUAAUUUACCUGCCUCAGCCUCCCGAAGUGCUGGGAUUACAGGUGUGAGCCAUCGCGCCUGGCCCAGAUGCUUGUUUUUUGUAGGAAUUUCCACUAGUGGAAACUAAAGUGGGGGAUUUUACAGGUUCUAACUUCCAAAUGACUUGCCCUGUAAGAAGGAGCUGCUCCCUCCCACUGCCACCCAUUCCUGCCAGUCUCCAGUCUCCUAGCCAUCCCAUGGAGUCUUCACCCUGACUGCACAGCCCUGACAUCAGCCAGGUCCCUUCACCCCUGCUUUGUAGUAACCAAUUAGCUUGACGUCUGUUCCCAUGGUUAUUUAGUUUCGUUGGCAACUAACAUAUUUCCCAGAAACAAGCCAGCAGCCCCCAGUCCCACCACCAUCCUGCUGGUGGGGCCGUCUUCUUCUGGAUGUCGGAUGAGAACUCUCCUGCUGGGGAACAACAGAAGGACAGAACACAGAACCAGAGGAAAAUGCAUUCAAAUGCAUUCCGUCAGUGUUUCUGGACCAUCUACAAUGUGCCCUGCCCACUGAUCGCUGCUGGAGAUAUAGAAGCCAUUAAAACACAGUCUCU